rnacentral:rRNA from 1 species
UGGGGGAUAUUGCACAAUGGGCGAAAGCCUGAUGCAGCGACGCCGCGUGGGGGAUGAAGGCUUUCGGGUUGUAAACCUCUUUCGCUAUCGAACAAGGCCCGCUUAGGGUGGGUUGAGGGUAGGUGGAGAAGAAGUGCCGGCUAACUACGUGCCAGCAGCCGCGGUAAUACGUAGGGCGCGAGCGUUGUCCGGAAUUAUUGGGCGUAAAGGGCUUGUAGGCGGCUUGUUGCGCCUGCUGUGAAAACGCGGGGCUUAACUUCGCGCGUGCAGUGGGUACGGGCAGGCUUGAGUGUGGUAGGGGUGACUGGAAUUCCAGGUGUAGCGGUGGAAUGCGCAGAUAUCUGGAGGAACACCGAUGGCGAAGGCAGGUCACUGGGCCAUUACUGACGCUGAGGAGCGAAAGCAUGGGUAGCGAACAGG